rnacentral:rRNA from 1 species
CGCCCAGACUCCUACGGGAGGCAGCAGUGGGGGAUAUUGCACAAUGGGGGGAACCCUGAUGCAGCGACGCCGCGUGGGUGAAGGAGUGCUUCGGCAUGUAAAGCCCUAUCGGCAGGAAAGAAGCAAGACGGUACCUGACUAAGAAGUCCCGGCUAACUACGUGCCAGCAGCCGCGGUAAUACGUAGGGGGCAAGCGUUAUCCGGAUUUACUGGGUGGAAAGGGGGCGCAGACGGCAGCGCAAGCCAGGAGUGAAAGCCCGGGGCCCAACCCCGGGACUGCUCUUGGAACUGCGCGGCUGGAGUGCAGGAGGGGCAGGCGGAAUUCCUGGUGUAGCGGUGAAAUGCGUAGAUAUCAGGAGGAACACCGGUGGCGAAGGCGGCCUGCUGGACUGCGACUGACGUUGAGGCUCGAAGGCGUGGGGAGCAAACAGGAUUAGAUACCCCCGUAA